AGUCUGUUCCUGGCUUUCUUUGGAUAAAGAUGAGCUCUCAGCUCCUUCUGUAGCACUAUGUCUGUCUGGAUUGCUGCCAUACUUCCUGCCAUGAUGAUAAUGGACUGAAUUUCUGAACCUGACAAAGGGAAGAGGUGGAAGGCAAGAUGUAUUGGACGGAGAAUAACAGGCACAUCACAGAGGUGAAGAGAAGCCACAGCAGCCCUGACAGUACAGGAUGUACUGAGUGGUGCCAAAGCUAUACAAUGGUUUGAAGAAGAGUGACUGACGGUGCAGGUUGCUGCAGGAGACAGUAUAAAAGAGAGGAGUAAUUCAAAACAUCCAAUCGCCAAAGAAGACAAUGCCUGCUAUAAGUCUUUGUCAUUAUCCUCCGUGCUGAUGGCCGUGUCCCCUCAUCUACUGGAAAAGCAACGGAUGGCUGGAGAUUUUCAUCGAUCUACAUUUCGACAUUGCCUUGAAUGACUCAGCGUCAGUGCAUAUGCCCACAGAGAAGCCUUCCUCUCUGUUCUGCAUUGUCCCCAUCUUUAAAGGCCACAGCCUCCUCUCCUUGAUGCUGUUUGUUUACUUCGAGGAUUCCCGGACUCCAAGGCUUCUUCUAUUCCCCUGAAUCCUUUAGCUUUACUGCUUGUUUGGUAUUUGCCUCCUCCCCGUGAAAGUUCUCUUACUUUGUUGAACGAAUGGAGAUUCCUCCAGCCUCCUCUGUAGUAUUUGUCGAUGUACAAGUUUCAUCAACGGACUACGGAUUCUCCACAGACGCAAUGCAGAUAAUAAACAUUUGAAAUGGUUCAUCUACAAAACCCUCAUAGUCACCAACCACGAGUAGACCUUCAAACGCGCCUCGGAUUCUCUUUAAUACAGUAUGCUUUAUGCCUGUCAAUAUAUACUUCCCUGUCCCAAACUAAUUUUAACUGGAUAGCCUUUUCUACUCCACAGAGAACAGAAAAGAGGAAGAAUAAGCUCGUCCUUUCCUCUCCAAAUCUAUGCAUUACCAUGUGAAUCCUGACUAUUUACAUCCUUAUUUCUGUAGAGCAGGAGGUCUAUAGCUGGGCAUGGCUGCUCACCCCUGUAACCCCAGAAAUGCAGAAUCACAAGGAUUACCCUGAGUAUGAGGCUAACCUAAGCUGCACGGUGAGUUCCUCAGCUUCAUAGUGAGCUCUAGGCCGUCAGGGGCUUGGCCAUAUGAGACCCCAUUUCUAAAAAGCGUGGGCAAAGUGCCAAGAUGGGUCAGCAGGUAUAGGAGCUUGCUACUAAGUCCAACGACCUGAGCUUGACUCCCAUGAUGGCCAUGUUGAGUCUUUUACGUUGUCCUCUGACGUCCACACACAUGCCAUGGUAUGUGUACACCCGACACUGAAGUAAAUAAAUGUAAGUUUUAAAAC